rnacentral:lncRNA from 1 species
UGAUAAGUGGGAGCAUGCAGCCUCAACUGCAUUGGCAUACCAUGACUUCCCAAGGGAUUUUCUGACAAUAAACCUCAAAGUCUUGACUGGUAAUAAUCCCAACGAUGCUAUUAAGUAGCUAGCAGCAACAACUAGAAUUUGUGAUCUGAAAUCGCAUUAACCAUUUGUCAUUUCAAAUAACAUACAUAAUUUUUAAAUGAAAAUUGUCAUUAGUUAGCUUUGAUGAUAAGUUGAUAACUAUUACCAACAAGAGAUAGAUAAUUACCAAUUUUCUAUACGUAAUUUAUGUGAAGAUUAAACUUAAAAUUGUUUUAUGUGUAAAUUGAUCAAGAUACUACUUUAAUUUAAUCAAUCCAUCACAGUACCUUAAGCAAAAGAAAUGAAAUUGAAUCAAAUGGGCAUAUUAGAGUGCAAUUGGUACCAAACCUAAUAUUUUGACAGGAAAAUCCAAAGAGAAAAACAACAAACAACAAACUCCAAAUUCUUUUUCAACUGCAAAAUAAAGACAACAGUGAGUUUAACCAAAUCAGGUUGUAGACAUUCACAAUUUGAGAGACAAGAUAGGUAGAAAAGGGUUUGUUUAAUAUGAUUUCGCAAGGUUGUUCUAAUGACAUGGAACAUUCAUCGUUGAGUUGGGAAAAAAGGAUAAGCAUACACCUCAAAAUUACAAAGAGAAACACAGUAAAAACCAUAGAGAAAUAAAAUAAUGUUCAAUCAAGAAUCAAAUUACGGUUUAAUUCAAAGAGAAACAAAAGAGGGUAGUAUCUUGCAGUAAGAAGAUAGGGUUACCUGGAGCAAAGAGCAAGGGGCAACCUAUCUUACUAAUAAUAAGAAAGGGGGUGAGAUAGGCGACAUGUAGCUUGCUUCCAAGCCGGCCCGGCCGCGAGCAAUCAAGAGAUCUUUGACGGUGCUGACUUUCUCGAGUGAUGGAAGAAGGUGCCCAAAAGUGACGAGCAGUCGCGAUCGAAGGAAGGAGAUGAGUUGCACUCAGCUUGAAGGAGAGGUCAUUUAGGGAUUGAAGGG